GCCAGGCGCAGUGGUACGCGCCUGUGAUCCCAGCAGCUCGGGAGGCUGAGGCAGGAGGAUCGGGAGUUCAAAGCCAGCCUCAGCAAUGAUGAGGCACUAAGCAACUCAGUGAGACCCUGUCUCUA
rnacentral:sRNA from 1 species